UGAUACGCAUCUUAAGAAGAGCAUAUGGUGGAUGCCUUGACAUCAAACGACGAUGAAGGACGUAGCAAUCUGCGAUAAGCUUCGGGGAGGUGAUAAGCAACCUUUGAUCCGGAGAUUUCCGAAUGGGGAAACCCGGCCCUAAUGAAAAUUGGGGUCAUCACCCACUGAAUACAUAGGUGUGUGAAGAAGACCUGGCGAAGUGAAACAUCUCAGUAACCAGAGGAAAAGUAAACAAUAAUCACUUCACUAACGUUACGCAGGAAUUUUUCUGCGGAGCGUUAGCGGAGUGUGUGUUAUUCCCAGAGUAGUGGCGAGCGAAAUGGGAUUAGCCCAAACUCAUAGUGUGGUAUCGCUGAUUGCCAUUCAGCCCUAGGUUGAAUGGUAUAUCAUGAUACGAGGUGCAGGCCGUUGCAUUAUGGGAGUUAUGAGACACUGCGUUCGCUACCUGUUGAGGCGAGCGGUGGCAUGUAUGACGUUAAACUAAGGGUCCUGGAAAGGCCCGCCAAAGAAGGUGAUAGCCCUGUUGUUGAAAACGUUUAUACUCACUGUGCAGUUGUUCUCGAGUACGGCCAGACACGUGCAAGCUGGUCGGAAAUUGGGAGGACUGUCUUCCAAGGCAAAAUACGUUUGAUGAUCGAUAGUGAACAAGUACCGUGAGGGAAAGGUGAAAAGAGACCCGAGAGGGUUUGUGAAAUAGACCUGAAACCAUAUGCUUACAAGGAGCCGGAGCCCGCAAGGGUGACGGUAUUCCUAUUGAAGAAUGAGCCAACGAGUUUAUGGACUGUUGCUUACUUAAGUCCUACGGGACGCAGGUGUAGCGAAAGCGAGUGUGAAUAGCGCGUUUCCAAACUUUCUUUUUCUCUUGAUAGCAAUAUGAAGAGAGAAAUGAUUGUUUGAAUGUAGCAGCCAUAAGACCCGAAACCGGGUGAGCUAUCCAUGACCAGGGUGAGUCCCAAUGAUAAGUUGGGAGGAGGCCCGAACCCACGCGCCGUGCAACACGCGGGGAUGAGUUGUGGAUAGGAGAGAAAUUCAAAUCGAACUCGGUAAUAGCUGGUUCUCCCCGAAAGAGCUUUAGGGCUCGCCUCGUGUGUUUCCGCUGGUGGUAGAGCACUGGAUGAGGGUUGAGUCCGCAAGGAUAUCGCUUUCAAUCAAACUCCGAAUACCAGCGAUUAAAACACGAGAGUCAGACCGUGGGGGCUAAGCUUCACCGGUCUUGAGGGAAACAGCCCAGAUCGCCAGUUAAGGUCCCUCAAUCCAUAUUAAGUGUUAAAGGUGGUGUUAAUUCUCAUACAACCAGGAUGUUGGCUUAGAAGCAGCCAUCAUUUAAAGAUAGCGUAACAGCUCACUGGUCAAGAGUUUUCGCGCCUAAAAUGUAUCGGGGCUAAAUAUGGUACCGAAACUGCGAACUUUGACCGCAAGGUUAAAGUGGUAGGGGAGCAUUCCAAGCUGCUGUGAAGCUCACGUCGCGAGACGGAGUGGAGCGCUUGGAAGGGAGAAUGUUGGCAUGAGUAGCAAAAACCAAUGUGAAAAUCAUUGGCGCCGAAAAUCCAAGGUUUCCUGGGCCAGGAGAAUCCUCCCAGGGUUAGUCGGGCCUAAGGCGAGGCCGAAAGGCGUAGUCGAUGGAUAAGCAGGUUAUUAUUCCUGCACCUCGUAGCGUUUGUCACUUCUGACGUCACGCGAAGAUACGAGCGGGCUAUGGUAUGUCCGUUUCGCAAGAUGAAGGCAAAGCCCUCGGGUAGAGCCGAUUCGUGUUAACGCGGGGCCAAGAAAAGGGAGUGGCGUGUGACGCUAUGGGUCCGUACCGCAAACCAACACAGGUGGAUACGUCGAGAAGACGAAGGCGAACGAGAGAACCCUUGUUUAGGAACUCUGCAAUACAGCGGCCGUAACUUAGGGAUAAGGCCUGCCCGAGCAAUCGGGCCACAGCUAAAGACAUCAGGCGACUGUUUACCAAAAACACAGCUCCCUGCUAACUCGCAAGAGGAUGUAUAGGGGGCGAUGCCUGGCCAGUGUCCGAACGUUAAGGAAGGGGGUCAUUUCUGUCGCAAGACGGGAGGCAGCCCUCAACUGAAGCGCGGAUGAACGCCAGCAGUAACUAUAACUGUUCUAAGGUUCUGCACGUCACAGCGGUGGUGUGUAGAAGGACUAGAACGGUUAUAGUGGAGAGUGCCAAAAAGCUGCCUCCUUACAUGGCAACAUGUAAGUGGUCCUAAAAUACAUGGCUAUAUGCUGGGAAGUUCAAGGGGACUAUGGUAUAAUUAAACCAUAGUAUGUCAUUGAAUAAUCAGCAGGAAAGACUAGGGGCCGCAUGGAUUUGCGGAUUUACUGACGGGGAAGGUUGUUUUUCAGUCAGUAUCAUCCGAAAUUCCACGACCAGUUCUGGUUGGCAAGUGUUUCCGGAGUUUGUGGUAACGCAAGGCGAAAAGAGUCGAAAAGCUCUUGAGUUUAUGCGUGAGUACUUCGAUUGCGGACAGAUUUAUAUUAAUCGAAGGCGCGACAACCACAACGAGCACUUGCUUCGUUAUUGCGUCCGAUCACAGCAGGGACUUCGUGAAAAAAUUGUUCCAUUCUUUUUGAAGAAUCAACUUCGAACAGAGAAAUCGAAGGAUUUUCAAAAAUUUGUAGAGAUACUCAAGCUCAUGGAGCAAAGAAGGCACCUGCAGAAAAAUGGAUUAAAACGCAUAGCAAAAAUUAUCCAGACGAUGAACCGUAAGGUUUCAUCACGGUUUCUAGAAUCCUCAGAGACUAAACGCCGUGCCCCGAUACGUUCGGGGAAGAUAUAGUCCUUCGUAUAAAGGUAACGAAAAGCGAAAUACCUUGUCGGGUAAGUUCCGACGCGCACGAAUGGCAUAACGGUCUGAUGACUGUCUUAACAAGGGACUCGGCGAAAUUGCAAUAUCCGUGAAGAUGCGGAUUACCCGUAGCUGGACGAAAAGACCCCAUGGAGCUUUACUACAACUUGGCGUUGGGUCAGCGUUUCAAAUGUUUAGAAUAGGUGGGAGUUUUACCGCAAGGUAGGACACCAGUGAAAUACCACCCUUUUGUGAUGUUGAUUCUAAUCAGUUUCCGUGAAUCCGGAAACCGAGACAGCGCCUGGCGGGUAGUUUGUCUGGGGCGGACUCCUCCCAAAAUGUAACGGAGGAGUUUACCAAGGUAGGCUUGGCGCGGAUGGAAAUCGCGCUCGACGUGCAAACGCAUAAGCCUGCUUUACUGCAAGACCUACAAGUCGCGCAGUCACGAAAGUGGAAGUUAGUGAUCCGACCGUACGAAAUAGGACGGCGGAAGCUCAUCGGAUAAAAGUUACCCUGGGGAUAACAGGCUAGUCUGGUCCAAGAGUCAAAUGGGCUCCCCACAAUUGUAAGAUUGUGGUAAACUGUGACUCAAAUCGUGGAAAUCCUCCCUUCAUAUGAAGAAGGACAAUCACGAGGGUAAGAUAGUUUGUUUCUAUGGACACCAUACGAGCGCGUAAUGCUCGGUUUCGUCAGCUGACCCAAGAACAACAAGAGAUCAUUAUUGGAUCGUUGUUGGGUGAUGGUUAUUUGGUAGCCACAACGCGUGGUUAUGCUUUUCGCGUCAAUCAUGGAAUUGCGCAACAAGCAUACGUGGAUUGGAAGUAUCGUAUUCUUGAAGAAUUUACAAAUUCUCCACCGCGUAUUUACCAAAGUAGCUAUUACUUUCGCACCGUUUCUCAUCCAUUUUUUGAGAAAUUGCGGCAUGAGUUUUACGUUGAAAAACGUAAGCAAGUGCCCGUUCAAUUAUCAGAAUGGAUGUCACCACUUGUUUUUAGUGUGUGGCUUAUGGAUGAUGGCGCAAAAGAUAAGGGUCAGUUACGAUUAAAUACCCAAUGUUUUUCUCGAGAAGAAAACCAAACAUUGAUAGGUAUCCUAGAAGCUAAACUUGGCAUUAGUGCAACACUUAAUCGAGACAAAAAACAGUUUCGGUUGCGUGUUAAAGAAGUGAGCAUGCCGCGCGUGCGGCAACUUGCUCGGCAUUAUUUACUUCCAAGUAUGCAAUACAAACUAUCCCCGUAACGACUUCGAGCAUCUUUUGUACGCGCAAAAGACUCGGGACUCAUCGUGUAUGAUGGGUAAUAUGUCACCAUCCCGAAAGGGAUGAAGGUAUAGUCUACCUCGUAAGAAAUUACGAAUUGAAGCCAUAUCGACGACCAGGUUCGGCACCUCGAUGUCGGCUCAUCGCAUCCUAGGGCUGGAGAAGGUCCUAAUGGUCCGGCUGUUCGCCGGUUAAAGCGAUACGCGAGCUGGGUUCAGAACGUCGUAGAUACCUGCGACCUCCUAUGGUAACAUAGGAGUAAAAUCAAGCUAAUAUCGGUGAAACCCUCCUCUUGUUCUGACCGAACAGCAGAGAGGGCAAUACCGAGGGAAGUCUCCGCCUUAGGCGGAUGACCCCGUAACGACUGAUCCCGUAAGGGUGAGAGCGCAUGACAAAAAUAAUAUUAAGUCUGUGCUCAGACGCUUGAUCCCUACUCUAAAAGGAGAGGGAUAAGAUAUAGUCUAUGCCACUAGAAAUAGUGGAAACACAUGAAGACAGUUCGGUCUCCUAUCCGCUACGGGCAUUGAAGAGUGAGAGGGCCAUUUUCUAGUACGAGAGGACCGAAAAUGACAAACCUCUUGUGUACCAGUUGUCCCACCAGGGGCAUUGCUGGGUAGCGACGUUUGGCACGGAUAAGCGCUGAAAGCAUAUAAGCGCGAAGCCGUCCUCAAGAUUGCUCUUCGUUUGAGACUCCCGGAAGACUACCGGGUUGAUAGGCACUAGGUGUACACGUGGUAACACGUUGAGCCGAGGUGUACUAAUAAGUCGAGCGUAUCACG
rfam:Candidatus Thrbacteria bacterium RIFCSPLOWO2_02_FTLL_51_9 rifcsplowo2_02_scaffold_12707, whole genome shotgun sequence.